rnacentral:rRNA from 1 species
GACGAGGGGUCCAAGCGUUGUUCGGAAUCAUUGGGCGUAAAGCGGGCGUAGGCGGCUCUAUAAGUCAGAAGUGAAAGCCCCGAGCUUAACUUGGGAAGUGCUUUUGAUACUGCAGAGCUUGAAUGUGGGAGAGGGUAGUGGAAUUCCAGGUGUAGUGGUGAAAUACGUAGAUAUCGUAAGGAAGACCAGUGGCGAAGGCGGGUCUCUGGACAGUUCCUGACGCUGAGGCACGAAGGUCAGGGGAGCAAACGGG